rnacentral:lncRNA from 1 species
UGCUUCCAAACCAUGUGACUUGGACUCGUUUGAAAAAGAUUAUAUUUCAUUCCCCCUCCCCCAUUCCCGUGUUUUGUCCCUAAGCAUCCUUUCCCCACUUCCCUAGGGCACUCGCCUUUCCGGAAAUGCCCUCGCCCAGCGGGCAGCCUCCACAUCCCGAGGAGCUGUUUCAGCACCUACUCUGUGCCCAGCUCAGAGGAUGGAAAGGUGAGCAACCCCCAGCGUGGUCCGCAGCCAUGGUCUCACGGAGAAGCGAGACUCCUCAGUGGGCAGGUUCACAGAAAACCAGACAGAACAAAAUGGGCAAAGAGGACCGUCCUCACAGAGGCCUCUCUUCGGCAGGAAGGCAGACGGUCAGCGAGUCCCUUUCUGGGAGGUUCCCCUGGAGAAGUCACCUGACACUUCUGGUCAGGUGGUCACGGUUUCUACAUCAAGAGCGGCACCUGUGCACUUGUGCCGCCCUUAAAUUCAUGUUUCCUAAGGAUGUUCAUGUCAAAGGGCAACACUCACGCUACAAUAUCAAGCGGAUAGAAUAUUGUGCAGGAGACACCUGUACAAGGAAGGAAGUAGACGAUGAUUACCUCUGAGUGACUGGAACUUCCACUGAAG